ensembl:snoRNA
AUGUCCCUGAAUCAAGGCCAUUAAUUUUCUGAAGCUGUUGGUUUCAAGCAGGAGCCUAAAGUAUCUUUCUGUUGUCUGUUGGCUAUUUCAGAAAUGUAAUGGUUAAUUCCUUAGAAAGAAACAACC